rnacentral:rRNA from 1 species
AUUGAACGCUGGCGGCAGGCCUAACACAUGCAAGUCGAACGAGUGGCGGACGGGUGAGUAAUGUCUGGGAAACUGCUCGAUGGAUGGGGAUACCUACUGGAAACGGUAGUUAUUACCGCAUACCAUCGGAUGUGCCCUGAAGGGAUUAGCUAGUAGGUGGGGUAACGGCUCACCUAGGCGACGAUCCCUAGCGGGUCUGAGAGGAUGACCAGCCACACUGGAACUGAGACACGGUCCAGACUCCUACGGGAGGCAGCAGUGGGGAAUAUUGCACAAUGGGCGCAAGCCUGAUGCAGCCACGCCGCGUGAAUGAAGAAGGCCUUCGGGUUGUAAAGUACUUUCAGCAGGGAGGCGUUACCCGCAGAGGAAGCACCGGCUAACUCCGUGCCAGCAGCCGCGGUAAUUC